UAUCAUUAACUGAAUCCAUAGGUUAAUGAGGCGAACCGGGGGAACUGAAACAUCUAAGUACCCCGAGGAAAAGAAAUCAACCGAGAUUCCCCCAGUAGCGGCGAGCGAACGGGGAGGAGCCCAGAGCCUGAAUCAGCAUGUGUGUUAGUGGAAGCGUCUGGAAAGGCGCGCGAUACAGGGUGACAGCCCCGUACACAAAAGCGCAUGUGCUGUGAGCUCGAUGAGUAGGGCGGGACACGUGGUAUCCUGUCUGAAUAUGGGGGGACCAUCCUCCAAGGCUAAAUACUCCUGACUGACCGAUAGUGAACCAGUACCGUGAGGGAAAGGCGAAAAGAACCCCGGCGAGGGGAGUGAAAAAGAACCUGAAACCGUGUACGUACAAGCAGUGGGAGCACCCUUUGGGUGUGACUGCGUACC
rnacentral:rRNA from 1 species